rnacentral:lncRNA from 1 species
UCAAAGUGACACAUUAGAUAUUAAAUUCAUUCAUUAUUUAUUUUUCAUUGCAUUAGGAUAAUAUUUAAUGGGAUUUGCUAACUUGCGUAUGCCUGUUUUUCAGUUGGUACAUUUUAGCAAUGUGUACCGGGUUUCAGUAGACAAAAAUAUCCUUAUAUCAUGAAUUCUGAAUUUUAAGGUUAAGGAUAUUUUAAUAAUUUUCAUUCUCAAAAUUAAAAAAAUAAAAAAAACCCCUAAACUCUUACCCACCUCUCUCAUCCUCUCAACCUUUUCUCUUUCAUCUCUUUCACUCCAACAUUUUGUCUGUUAUCCCUACUCUAGUCUCAAUUGAAAAAAAUCAGAAACACUUGCCUUAUUUUAAUCAUUUUCAUUCUCAAAACUAAAAAAAAGAAACCCCAAACCCUUACUCACCUCCUUCAUUCCUCUCAACCUUUUCUCCUUCAUCUCUCUCACUUAAACAUUUUCUCUGUCAUCUUUGCACUAGCCACAACUAAAAAAACACUCACUAUUAAAUAAAAUGGUUAGAGAAAAAAAUACUUACAUAAAUAAAAAAAUUAAAGCACUUAAUUUUUUAUUUAUAUAAUUUUAAAUAAAAUUUCAAGAUUUAGAAUUUUUAUGGUUUGAUUUUAUCGUUAAGAAUUUUAUUGUAUUUUGAUUUGUUUUUUCUUUAGUAAAGGAAAACAAGUUAAUGAAUUUCUACAAAAAAAAAUUAAAUGGUCACAGAGCAAUGU